AACUCAUCUUGAAUCACAAAAUCCUCAUUUUCUUUCUCUUACUCUACCCAAAAAUCUUCUUAACAUCCUUCUAAAGUUCUAAACCUUGAAGAUCUAGGCGAAGUUCUGUCCGAAACGAUAACCUACGAAAACUUUUUAGGAAGCUAACAAUUUUGGUUGUUUUAUCAAGACGCAAGGUAAGAGGCCCCAAAUAUAAAUUGUUGAUAAGUAUACGUGGAGCCAACAUGACUGUACAUAUGGGGCUGACCUGAAAGGAAUGGAGUUCUGCUAUGCUAUUUUAUAAAUAAACGAGAAACUUGAUUUUAUAAUUAUAUUUCAUUAAAAUUAUUUUGUGAACUUUAUAAUUUACUUAAAGCUUUAAAAGUAUUUCAUGAACGCUGUAAUUUACAUAAAGCUUUUCAAUUUAUCGGUUGGAUACAUCUUCAUUUCUACGUUAAGGUGUAGUAACGCCACGAAAAUUAUUUAUAAAAAUAUUAAGAUUUGUAUGUAAGAUAAAGUUUUUAUUUAGUUGUGAGUAUUGUAUGGUUUGAGGUUAUGAACAUUAGUUAUGUAUAGUUUAAUAAAGUUUAUGUAAAUUCAGAAUUUCAGUAUUGUUAUAUUUAUGUUAAACUUUGUUUUUACACUAUAUAUAUGUAUGUUAAGAAAUGAGGUCGUUACAGCUGUGUUUCGUGAGUGGUGAUGAAGGAGACCAGGCCGGUGUGGGAAGACUGGAGCUAUGUGGAGGCGCGACAUCGGCGACCAGAGCUAGUUGAUGAGAGAAGGAGAGAGGUUGAAGAAAGAUGUGAAACCCUAAUCCCAAAUUCUUUAAAUUUAGCUUUAGUUUUUUAUUAAUAAAAAUAAUUUUUCUUUUCAUUUUUAAAUAAUUUUUCAUUUUAAAUAUAUUUUUAAUUAGUUUUUCAAAUUUAAAAUCAAUUAUCAUGUUCUUAAAAAAUUUAUGACUAGACCAAUCACGAAGUGACAUGUGUUGGUCCAAUCAUCACCAAACGGAGCUAAACGGACAAGGACUAACAAAAUUACUGUUUUUCUAACUUUGGGUACUUUCCCCACUAAAAAAAAAAUUGGAUCUAUGUCGGUUAUAAACCUCAAACAUUAGGUACUUACACCACAUAUAUCCCUACUCUUUUUUUAAACAUAUGCCCCUAUGCAGGGUCGACCCCGAGUUGUGGGAGGCCCUAUACAAAAAAUAUUAUUUUAAAAAAAUUUAUAUAUAAAUUGAUAAUUUUCAAAAUUUUGAGGUUUUUAUAUAUGUAAAAAUUAGUAUUUUUCCAAAAUUUGGUGCUCAUUGUGUGGGGCCCUUGGCACAGGACUGGCCCACCUGUGCCCUGGGCCGGACCUGCCCCAUGCUUAAAAAUUGGGAAAAUACGGAUGGGCGUUAAUAGUGGUGGUGUUGAAAAAUAUGGUCGGCAUCAUGUGCGAGACUCCAAUGGCAACUCGGGCAAUAGUGAGGGAGAGAGAGCAAGAGCUUAGAGAGAGACUAAGAGUUUAGAAGAAGAGCGAGUGUUUUCAAUGUGUGGGGCAAUUUUGUUCGAAAAUAAUUUUGGAGUAAAAUUUUCUAAUUUUUAUGUAAUGGGGCAUAUUUUUUAA